UCCUCAAUAGCUCAGUGGUAGAGCGGUUGGCUGUUAACUGACUGGUCGUAGGUUCGAAUCCUACUUGGGGAGAUUCUUGGGGAG
rnacentral:tRNA from 1 species